rnacentral:rRNA from 1 species
UACAGAGGGGGCAAGCGUUAUUCGGAAUUAUUGGGCGUAAAGGGCGCGUAGGCGGCUUUGCAAGUGGCGGGUGAAAUCCCUCGGCUUAACCGAGGAACUGCCUGUCAAACUGCAUGGCUUGAGACCGGGAGAGGUGAGUGGAAUUCCCAGUGUAGCGGUGAAAUGCGUAGAUAUUGGGAGGAACACCAGUGGCGAAGGCGGCAUCCUGGACCGACACUGACACUGAGGAGCGAAAGCCAGGGGAGCAAACGGG